CUUCUACUUCCUCCACCCGAAAUUACUUGUCGCGGAAAUGGAUUAAAAUGGAUGUAUCUAGAACUAAAAUAGGUAUAGAUACAUCCAUUUCUCUGACAAGUUACUCGGGGUGGAAGGAGUACAAU
rfam:Triticum aestivum genome assembly, contig: Triticum_aestivum_CS42_TGACv1_scaffold_556991_7AL